rnacentral:rRNA from 1 species
AGCGAACGCUGGCGGCAGGCCUAACACAUGCAAGUCGAACGAACCUUUCGGGGUUAGUGGCGGACGGGUGAGUAACACGUGGGAACGUGCCUUUAGGUUCGGAAUAACUCAGGGAAACUUGUGCUAAUACCGAAUGUGCCCUUCGGGGGAAAGAUUUAUCGCCUUUAGAGCGGCCCGCGUCUGAUUAGCUAGUUGGUUGAGGUAAUGGCUCACCAAGGCGACGAUCAGUAGCUGGUCUGAGAGGAUGAUCAGCCACAUUGGGACUGAGACACGGCCCAAACUCCUACGGGAGGCAGCAGUGGGGAAUCUUGCGCAAUGGGCGAAAGCCUGACGCAGCCAUGCCGCGUGAAUGAUGAAGGUCUUAGGAUUGUAAAAUUCUUUCACCGGGGACGAUAAUGACGGUACUCGGAGAAGAAGCCCCGGCUAACUUCGUG